CUCUCUCUCUCUCUCUCUCAUCCUAAGAAGUUCAAAGUUCAAACCAUAGUAUUGUUCAAUUCAAAAAUCAAUUUAUUCUCUGCCAUCGGAACUUAGGGUUUCACUUCGCCUUUGAAAUGAAGUUGAAGAUCAACAAAGCCUGUGAUCUCAACUCUAUUUCGGUCCUUCCUCCUCAAUCAAGGAGACCGAGUGCUAUUCCAACUGGACUACAAGCAUCACAGCUUAGAUCGCAAACAUCACAGCAAUCAUUUUCACAGGGAAUUUCAUCGCAGCGUGGCAUGUUUUCUCAGCUCUCUCAGACCUCUUUUGAUGAAGCUCUGACAAAUGACCAGAGAGUUAGUUCUCAAGAGCGAGAGAACUCUGUGAAGAAGACAUCUUGCUUGCCCCUAGUUAGCUAUGCACGUGAAGAAAGCCAAAUGCCGAUCUCAAGAUCUACUUCCAAUUUAAUGCGUAAAUGGAAUCCAGUAUCUGUUCCAGAUCAUAAAUGUCAGGUAAUGGAAGAACUUGAGCACCGGAUUGGAAUGAUGGAAACUUCAUUAAACAAGUUUGGAAUGAUCUUGGGUUCUGUUCAGAGUGAUGUCAUGCAAGUGAACAAGGGAACAAAAGAAGUAUCACUGGAGAUGGAAGGCAUACGACAGAAAUUAAUUGUCCUUGAAACCUCACUGCAGCUAAUGGUAACAGCAGUAUACUUUUGUCCCUUUUGACUUUCAACAUCUACCUGCCUUCUUAUCAGUGUGUCACUGAAAGUGAACCUUUUAUGACGUGACUGAGGUGUUGAAAACCAGAUCAAGGGACAAGAAGAUACUAAAUUUACUCUUGAUGGGAACUUGAAAUCUAUAUCUGAUCAACUGAGCAAGGAUAUGUAUCAAGAUAAAUCACAACAGAUUUUCUCGGUGCUUUCUGCCUUAUCAAAGCAGAUGGAAGCUUCUCUGCUGAAAUUACAUAAUGACCUCCGCAUGACCUUUACCAAAGUAAUGCAGGCAACAGCUUGCAACCUGAAAACCCUCAACCAAAGUAGCCCGUCAAUUACUGUGCUUCCACGAAAGGUUACUCGCUGUUAUACCGCUCCACAAAGAAAGCAGGAGUCCCCUGGGAAGUAUGCAGAACUCUCUCUUUCUUUUGUUCUUUGGAUCUUUUCAGUUAGACAUGAUAUAGCUUAUAUCCGCUGUAUGGCACUAUACAUAGUUGAUACUGCAGAGUUCCAAUUGUUGGGUCUAGCAGGCUUAUCUAAUGGGGGAUUGUUUUCCCCCUCGAGUCCUAAUAACUGAGAAUGUUAAAUAUAUGAACCAUAGAAAGAAAUCAGGAAGGAAUUUAUAUUUUGAUUGAUGCAAAUCGUGGUUGAUCUCUGAGGACUAAUAUCUGCAUCAAUGUAUCUGCAGUUAAAGGACUAGAAAUUUUUUCAGUAUGUUUGACUUGUGUAACUCAGUUUUUAUGCUCCCACAAAUGUCUGUUUUCUAUAUCUUUUUAUCCUAAUUUCUAGGUGUUUCAUGCAAUAAAAAACAGCCAAAUGCCCACACAUGAGAUAUAUAUGUUUCAUGGUGCUUGGCUGCUUGCAUUUGUUUGCUUGGAAUUGAUUACCUGUCCAAAUUUCAGAUCUCCUAUUUUCAUAUAUGUAAGUUCUGUAGUUCUUAAGCUUUGCUACUUUUAUCACAGCACCUAACCCCUUGAGAAUUGUCAAUGCUUUUUCUUUAUUUCAGUCCAGCCAUGCCUCAAAGGGCCUGUGGGCAAGUAACAGUGUGUCCAAAGAUAGAAAUGGGAGCUUGGAACACUGUAAGGCCUGAGCAAGCUACAUUCACACAAAGGGCAUCCCACAAGGAGGAGAAGCGCAAAGGAGUUUCUUCCUUUCAGAAGGAAAAACAAUGUAGUGUUAUCAUUGAAUCAGAUGAGGAGAUUGAUGGAGGUUUUUCGUGCUUAAUUGACGAGAAGGAAACAGGCAUUGGAAACUACAUGAUUGAUGAAGCAGCAGAAGAGUCCGAGCGAAUUCUGAGAAGAGCAAGGAGGCAAAAGAGAAAAUACUGUAAUCCAAUAAUUAUUAAUUGAAGUUGUGCAGCUGAAAGAUUUCUCUUUUCAUGAAGUAUUGACGGUUUUGAAGGAAUUCUUGCCAAUGUCCCUAAUUCAUUUGUCCCAGGUAAGCUUUUUUUAUGAGCUUUGAUUAGAUUAGCAUUUUUUUCCAAAAUUGAGACGCUCCCCUGUAUCUUUACUUCAAAAAUAGGUGACCAAAUAUCUGAGGUGUAUGUGCAAUAAUUAGCGGUAUGAUCAGUAGAUUUUUUUUUUGGGUUGGUAUUCUAAAAAUUUUAAGGGGAUUGAGUUGUAAGAAUUUAAUUUUUAAACUCAUGGAUUAGGAAGUAAGCACUUAGCUAUUAGCCUAUUAGACUACUGAUUUAAUAACCAGUAUGACCAGUACAUGUGCUUGGAAGAAGGGUGCCUUUCUAUAUCAUGCCCUCGAU
rnacentral:misc_RNA from 1 species